GAUGAACGCUGGCGGUCUGCUUAACACAUGCAAGUCGAACGGAGGUAGAAAUACCUCAGUGGCGGACGGGUGAGUAACACGUGAGAAUCUAGCUUCAGGUCGGGGAUAACAGAGGGAAACCGCUGCUAAUACCGAAUGUGCCGAGAGGUGAAAGACAAGUUGCCUGAGGAUGAGCUCGCGGCGGAUUAGCUAGUUGGUGGGGUAAAAGCCUACCAAGGCGACGAUCCGUAGCUGGUCUGAGAGGACGAGCAGCCACACUGGGACUGAGACAAGGCCCAGACUCCUACGGGAGGCAGCAGUGGGGAAUUUUCCGCAAUGGGCGAAAGCCUGACGGAGCAAGACCGCGUGAGGGAGGAAGGCUCUUGGGUUGUAAACCUCUUUUCUUUGGGAAGAAGAAAGUGACGGUACUAAAGGAAUCAGCAUCGGCUAACUCCGUGCCAGCAGCCGCGGUAAUACGGAGGAUGCAAGCGUUAUCCGGAAUCAUUGGGCGUAAAGCGUCCGCAGGUGGUGGGGCAAGUCGGCUGUCAAAGGUCACAGCUUAACUGUGAACAGGCGGUGGAAACUGCCAAACUAGAGUGCGGUAGGGGUAGAGGGAAUUCCCGGUGUAGCGGUGAAAUGCGUAGAGAUCGGGAAGAACACCAGUAGCGAAAGCGCUCUGCUGGGCCUGCACUGACACUGAGGGACGAAAGCUAGGGGAGCGAAUGGGAUUAGAUACCCCAGUAGUCCUAGCCGUAAACGAUGGAGACUAGGCGAGGCGCGUAUCG
rnacentral:rRNA from 1 species